UACAGAGGUCUCAACCGUUGUUCGGAUUCAUUGGGCGUAAAGGGUGCGUAGGCGGUCGCGCAAGUCGGAUGUGAAAUCUCAGGGCUCAACCCUGAAACUGCAUUCGAUACUGCUUUAGCUUGAGUCCUGGAGAGGAGAUCGGAAUUUACGGUGUAGCAGUGAAAUGCGUAGAUAUCGUAAGGAAGACCGGUGGCGAAGGCGGAUCUCUGGACAGGAACUGACACUGAGGCACGAAGGCCAGGGGAGCAAACGGG
rnacentral:rRNA from 1 species